UGUUACUUACUUUAUUAAUGUGCUGGUUGACAACAUGCCUAGAAAAGUUUGCUUAACUAUUGUUAGGGUUUGACCAACUAUUUGUUUGCAUAACCUAUAUAAUAUAACAAAGAAGCUAUGCUAUAAUAUUAAGUUUAUACUCUAUAUGAUAAGAGCAUACUGCUGUGUGAGAGGAAGGGGCUCAUGGGAUGGUGAGUCAUAUGGAAAGAAUGCAGAUGCUGUGAAUCAGGGAUGUGGAAGAGCUUGUUAAAAGAUAAGGGCAGGAUAUGGGUGAAAUGUAUAUGCGGAGGGGUGUCGGGGUUUUAGAGAACUGUGCAUUGUGCAGUCACAAGAUAAAUCGACUGCCAAAGAUAAUAACUACGCCCGGCAACAGGAGGCGUCUCUCGAGGUUGGGACCAACCUGCACGCCAACGAUAGGAUGAGUAAAUUUAAACCACGCUCAUCCUCCCUCUGACAGGCCAGCAGUGAGCGGGAUUAAAGUACAAAGAAAUCAGAAGUUACUCUGUGUUAACUGUUUUAUUCCAAUACCAGAUUGAAUCGACGCAACCUGACACUAUAUAUCUUUGUUUGUCGUGACUACAACACAAAGCAUAUUGAAACAUGGUGGCAGCGGUACUCAAAAGAACCUGGAUCUCAUCAAUGUAAAUGAAGAAUACAUCCCAGGCAGCAGUUUGAAAAAGUGCCGCGUUUACGGGCUGUCAUCGCGCCGCACGUCUACGUUAGCUGGCUAUCGUGAGUGACUCUAUGAUAAAAGCUAUCUGGCUAUUGGAUACAUGCAGAUUCGUGAGUAGCUAACAUUCCAUUCUACAAAUAAAUCGCCAUGGAAAAUGCACUGAAAUCUCCGGGAAAAAUAGACUUUGAUGAUUGUAAUUUAGCACUGGCCUGGAAAAGAUGGAAAAAGGAAUUCAAUUUGUACAUGGCUCUUACAAUGAGAGAAAAACCCGAGGACUACAAAGUGAAGCUGCUGUAUUAUCUCAUUGGGGAAGAAGGCGGAGAGAUUUGUGAGACCCUAUGUGUGGGCAGUACAAAAGAGAUCAAUCCACGCAAUAAGAAGUCAACAAGAAUGUGCACAGGCCCAUUCUUGGCAGUAAGGCUAUCCAGGCAAUGGAGUUGAUUACUGUGCAGCAUCACAACAUCCUGGCCAUCGAGGAAACAACAGGAUCCUGGACUAAAGAGUAAAUUAAACAGGAGUACACUGAUGUAUUCCAGGGAGAUGGAUGCUUACCCGGCAAACUGAAGCUGGAAGUGGAUGAGCGAGUGGAUCCCGUCCAGCUGCCAAAGAGAAGAGUGCCAGUAGCACUAUAUAAACCACUCAAAGAGGAGCUCAGUGGUCUAGAGAAAAGAAGGAUGAUAAAAGCAGUUGGGAAAAAAAAGCACAGAUUGGAUCAGCAGCCUGAUCGUAGUGAAGAAACCGUCUGGAAAACUAAGAGUGUGUAUUGAUCCGAAACCUCUCAACAAGGCGCUCAAGAGGAGCCAUUACCCACUUCCCACUAUUGAAGACGUGCUGCCAGAUCUGAACAGAGCACGCGUGUUCUCUGUUUGUGAUGUAAAAAAAACGGAUUUUGGCAUGUGGAACUGGAGGAGGAAUCCAGCUAUCUCACCACUUUCUCUACUCCCAUGGGACGCUACAGGUGGCUGCUCCUGCCAAUGGGAAUCAGUCCAGCCCCAGAGAUCUUUCAGAGGAAGUUGAACCAGGCAAUGGAAGGUCUUCCAGGAGUCAAAAUCAUUGCAGAUGACAUCCUGCUUGUGGAAGAAGAAGACAAUGAUGAAGCGGCGACUCUGGUCCAUGACAAAAACCUGAAAAUGCUCCUGGACAGAUGCAGGAAGCUCAAUAUCAAGCUGAAUCCGGAGAAGCUGCAGCCCAGGCUGAAGGAAGUGCCCUACAUUGGCCACCUGCUAACAUCAGAGGGGUUGAAAGUGGACCCAGGAAAAGUGACAGCCAUCAAACAGAUGCCUAGGCCUACAGAUGUGCAGGGGGUGCAGCGCUUCCUGGGCAUGGUAAACUACCUAGCCAAGUUCUGCAGCCACGCCAUGGAGCUCUGCGAGCCACUGCGACAGCUAACACACAAGGACUCACGGUGGGAGUGGUCAGAGAGACAUGAGCAGGCUUUCAAUAAAAUCAGGGAUACCAUUGCACAGACCCCUGUGCUGAAAUACUACAACCCAACAGAGCAGCUUGUACUACAGUGUGAUGCUUCAGAGAGUGGGUUAGGAGUAUCCCUGAUGCAGGGAGGACAACCAAUAGCAUACGCCAGCAGAGCGCUGACAGAGACUGAAAAAGGGUAAGCACAGAUAGAGAAGGAGCUGCUUGCAGUGGUGUUUGGCAUGGAGAGGUUCCACCAAUUCACAUAUGGACGAACUGUGGAAGUGCAGUUAGAUCACAAGCCUCUAGAGAGCGUCAUGACAAAGCCUCUCCUCAGCGCACCAAAAAGACUACAACGCAUGCUCAUGAGACUCCAAAACUACGAGGUCAGUCUCCGAUACGUUCCGGGAAAACGUGUGGUGCUGGCCGACACCCUGAGCAGGGUGUACCCCAUAGAACAAGACAACAGAGGCCCUGUGGAGGUCGAAGUGGAAUCAAUCAAUUUGAUACACUACCUCCCUGUGUCAAGUGAGAGACUAAAGCACAUCCAGAGAGCCACUGAGCUGGACCGGGAGCUCCAGACAUUGAAAAAUGUGAUCCCGCAGGGGUGGCCUGAAGUGAAAGGGCAUGUACCUUUGGAAGUAGCCAUGUAUUUUCACAACAGAGAUGAGCUGAGUGUGCAAAAUGGAGUUAUCUUCAGAGGUGAGCGAGUCGUUGUGCCUACUACCCUCAGGUCAGAGAUAAUGCAGAGAAUCCAUUCCUCACACAUAGGAACAGAGGGAUGUCUGAGAAGAGCUUGCGAGUGUGUCUACUGGCCAGGCAUGAAUGCACAGCUGAGAACAUACAUGGCACAAUGUAGCACCUGCACUGCAUGGGGUAUGAAGCAGCAGAAAGAAACAUUGAGGCCACACGAAGCACCAAAGUGUCCCUGGGAAAAAAAUAGGGACUGACCUGUUCCAGUUCAAUGACAGAGACUACAUGGUCACAGUUGAUUAUCUCUCCAACUUCUGGGAGGUGGACCAUUUGGAGAACACAGUCGAAAACGGUCAUUUGAAAACUGAAGACACACUUUGCACGCUAUGGGAUACCUGACAUCCUGUACUCAGACAAUGGUCCCAGUACUCUUCAGACGGGUUCCCAAGUUUCAGCAAGGCUUGGGACUUUACACACAAAACAUCGUCUCCAGGAUACCCGCAAAGUAAUGGGAAAGUGGAUUCGGCAGUGAAAACAGCCAAAAGACUGAUGGCAAAAGCUAAGAGAGCAGGUGCUGACCCAUACCUGGCCAUGCUGGAUCACAGAAACAAAGGACAAUUACAAAGGACAAUUUCAGAGCAGGACAAAAAUAUAUCAGAAGACCUGGAUGCUGUCCUGAUGGCUGGAGGAGAUUCGGAUGUAGAUGUUAUUACCUUUCAACUGAGAGUAAAACUUGGAGUGAGAGCAGAGCAGACUGUAUAAGGGGAGGAGCAGACCUGGUGAUCAUAAACAGCGGAGAGGAACAGGUGAGAGAGCGGAGGAGCAGAAACAAAGUGGGAAAUAACUAAUGAGAGAGAGAAACAGAC